CCUACGGCGGGCAGCAGUGGGGAAUAUUGCACAAUGGGGGAAACCCUGAUGCAGCGACGCCGCGUGAGUGAAGCAGUAUUUCGGUAUGUACAGCUCUAUCAGCAGGGAAGAAAAUGACGGUACCUGAUUAAUAAGCCCCGGCUAACUACGUGCCAGCAGCCGCGGUAAUCCGUAGGGGGCAAGCGUUAUCCGGAUUUACUGGGUGGAAAGGGAGCGUAGACGGCAGCACAAGUCUGGAGGGAAAUGCCGGGGCUUAACCCCGGAACGGCUUUGGAAACUGUGCAGCUAGAGUGCAGGAGAGGUAAGUGGAAUUCCUAGGGUAGCGGUGAAAUGCGGAGAGAUUAGGAGGAACACCAGUGGCGAAGGCGGCUUACUGGACUGUAACUGACGUUGAGGCUCGAAAGCGUGGGGAGCAAACAGGAUUAGAUACCCCAGUAGUC
rnacentral:rRNA from 1 species